AUGCACGCUGGCGGCGUGCCUCAUCCAUGCAAGUCGCACGCAUAGCGAAAGGUGCUUGCACCUUUCAAGUGAGUGGCGAACGGGUGAGUAACACGUGGACAACCUGCCUCAAGGCUGGGGAUAACAUUUGGAAACAGAUGCUAAUACCGAAUAAAACUUAGUGUCGCAUGACACAAAGUUAAAAGGCGCUUCGGCGUCACCUAGAGAUGGAUCCGCGGUGCAUUAGUUAGUUGGUGGGGUAAAGGCCUACCAAGACAAUGAUGCAUAGCCGAGUUGAGAGACUGAUCGGCCACAUUGGGACUGAGACACGGCCCAAACUCCUACGGGAGGCUGCAGUAGGGAAUCUUCCACAAUGGGCGAAAGCCUGAUGGAGCAACGCCGCGUGUGUGAUGAAGGCUUUCGGGUCGUAAAGCACUGUUGUAUGGGAAGAACAGCUAGAAUAGGAAAUGAUUUUAGUUUGACGGUACCAUACCAGAAAGGGACGGCUAAAUACGUG
rnacentral:rRNA from 1 species